UUAAUUGAAGAGUUUGAUCAUGGCUCAGAUUGAACGCUGGCGGCAGGCCUAACACAUGCAAGUCGAGCGGCAGCACAGAGGAACUUGUUCCUUGGGUGGCGAGCGGCGGACGGGUGAGUAAUGCCUGGGAAAUUGCCCGGUAGAGGGGGAUAACCAUUGGAAACGAUGGCUAAUACCGCAUAACCUCGCAAGAGCAAAGCAGGGGACCUUCGGGCCUUGCGCUACCGGAUAUGCCCAGGUGGGAUUAGCUAGUUGGUGAGGUAAGGGCUCACCAAGGCGACGAUCCCUAGCUGGUCUGAGAGGAUGAUCAGCCACACUGGAACUGAGACACGGUCCAGACUCCUACGGGAGGCAGCAGUGGGGAAUAUUGCACAAUGGGCGCAAGCCUGAUGCAGCCAUGCCGCGUGUAUGAAGAAGGCCUUCGGGUUGUAAAGUACUUUCAGUAGGGAGGAAGGUGG
rnacentral:rRNA from 1 species